rnacentral:lncRNA from 1 species
AUGACAGACUCUGGACAUGACUGUUCGCUUAAGGAGCUCCUUCUCCUCCUCAGCCAUGCACUGCUGUGCGCUCAAGGCCGUGCGUCAGAGCACUCGUCGACGCUCCCACCCCAUCUUCCAGCGGCCCUGCCGGAACCCGUGCUCAUCCAGGAGGCAUCUCGAGGACGUGUCGUGGAGCUGCUGUGUCGCACUCCUUCGGGUUACGCAGGGAUCCUCUUCAAGCUCUACAGAGAGCGGGAUUUGGUGAACAGCACCGAGUUCGGCCAGGACGCCCGAGAAGCCCGCUUUAGCGUGGUGAGGGAGCGCGGAGCACGGUGGAAACCCUACUGCUGCCUGUAUCAGAACAGCGACGGUGUGUACAGUGCCUUCAGUUCGUACCUGGAGCCGAGGGAUUCAACAGUGCCGUUGCCUGCGCCCACCCUCUCCUUUGCACGUCAGGACCCCGCGGACAGAGUCUUGCUGUGCGAGGGGUCGCCUUCCUAUCCUGGGGCUGAGUUCUUGCUCCUCCAGUUGGGCUCCUCACACCCCUUGGAGAGACAAACUGCUCCCCCGAUGCUCCACAGUGCCAGCUUUUUGGUGCCGGCUGACCACCAAUAUCUGAACGAGUACCAGUGUCAGUACAGUGUGCUCCUGGACCAACGCCGGAGGGAGUCGGAGCGCAGCCCUCCCCUCGCUGUUCCUAUUUUCACAAAAACUGCCAUGAAUACUUCGACAGCUGCUCAACCUCCAGCCGAAGAACACACAGCACCGACAGACUGGCCAAUGAUCAUGGGCUCCAUAUCGGCAGUCGUCCUGGUCAUGGUGGUGCUGACAGCCCUGGGGUUCGUGGUCCGCUGGAAAGUCAAAGCGCUGGUGGCAGAGAGACAGAAAAGGGAAGAGGCCCGUUUCUGGCAUAAUUUUCACGCCAUGGACCACGUUGUCGACCUAACCCUCAGAAGAGUCAGUGUUGGGUCUCAGGAAUGGGAUCCAGUCAAGGACGAAAAAGGAAGCAGAACCACGGGAAAGUGCAGCUCUUCCUCUUCCGACCCUCAUUUCUACACGUUUCGGAACUCGAUGCUUCGCUGAAAGCAGUGCCUUCGCCCCGGACAGAUCUCCGUACCCGUAUCUGUUUUUAGGGUUGUUUUUACACCUUUCUCACUCAUCGCUGAGACCCAGUAGGUGUGAUGCUCAGAGGACUAAUUUACAUUUUUUCUACAUUUUACCGCAACUGGGUCUGAUGCAUUUAUGUUUUCUUAAAAACUUGGUUCCACUUUUUUUUUUUUUUUUGCUCUGUCUUGCGCAACACCUAUUUCCUUAAACCUUUUAUACCCAUGGACACAAAUACAGCACAGGUUAAUAAUAAAAGUUAUAUUUAUUGCA